CCUACGGGGGCAGCAGUGGGGAAUCUUGGACAAUGGGCGAAAGCCUGAUCCAGCCAUGCCGCGUGUGUGAAGAAGGCCUUCGGGUUGUAAAGCACUUUCAGUGGGGAAGAAAGCCUUGGGGCUAAUACCCUCGAGGAAGGACAUCACCCACAGAAGAAGCACCGGCUAACUCCGUGCCAGCAGCCGCGGUAAUACGGAGGGUGCGAGCGUUAAUCGGAAUUACUGGGCGUAAAGCGCGCGUAGGCGGUCUGAUAAGCCGGUUGUGAAAGCCCCGGGCUCAACCUGGGAACGGCAUCCGGAACUGUCAGGCUAGAGUGCAGGAGAGGAAGGUAGAAUUCCCGGUGUAGCGGUGAAAUGCGUAGAGAUCGGGAGGAAUACCAGUGGCGAAGGCGGCCUUCUGGACUGACACUGACGCUGAGGUGCGAAAGCGUGGGUAGCAAACAGGAUUAGAUACCCUAGUAGUC
rnacentral:rRNA from 1 species